CGCAUGAUGCAGUGUGAAAAACUCCGGUGGUGUGAGAUGGAUCCGCGUCUGAUUAGGUAGUUGGUGGGGUAACGGCCCACCAAGCCGACGAUCAGUAGCCGACCUGAGAGGGUGACCGGCCACAUUGGGACUGAGACACGGCCCAAACUCCUACGGGAGGCAGCAGUGGGGAAUAUUGCACAAUGGGCGAAAGCCUGAUGCAGCGACGCCGCGUGAGUGAAGAAGUAUCUCGGUAUGUAAAGCUCUAUCAGCAGGGAAGAAAAUGACGGUACCUGACUAAGAAGCCCCGGCUAACUACGUGCCAGCAGCCGCGGUAAUACGUAGGGGGCAAGCGUUAUCCGGAUUUACUGAGUGUAAAGGGAGCGCAGACGGCGAUGCAAGUCUGGAGUGAAAGCCCGGGGCUCAACCCCGGGACUGCUUUGGAAACUGUAUGGCUAGAGUGCUGGAGAGGCAAGCGGAAUUCCUAGUGUAGCGGUGAAGUGCGUAGAUAUUAGGAAGAACACCAGUGGCGAAGGCGGCUUGCUGGACAGUAACUGACGUUCAGGCUCGAAAGCGUGGGGAGCAAACAGGAUUAGAUACCCUGGUAGUCCACGCCGUAAACG
rnacentral:rRNA from 1 species